rnacentral:miRNA from 1 species
UGCUGACUGGGGCUGGCCUGUG